UACCAGCACCCCGAGUGGUCGGGACGUUUAUUGGGCCUAAAGCAUCCGUAGCCGGUUCUACAAGUCUUCCGUUAAAUCCACCUGCUUAACAGAUGGGCUGCGGAAGAUACUAUAGAGCUAGGAGGCGGGAGAGGCAAGCGGUACUCGAUGGGUAGGGGUAAAAUCCGUUGAUCCAUUGAAGAACACCAGUGGCGAAGGCGGCUUACUGGUCCGGUACUGACGCUGAGGUGACGAAAGCGUGGGGAGCAAACAGG
rnacentral:rRNA from 1 species